rnacentral:lncRNA from 1 species
CUAUCACAUUUGAUGAAAUGAAAGGCCACGUGGCCAGACCUGAGAACACCGAAGGAAGGUGAUUCAAGCAAGGCCUUGUAUAUGGAUAGAGCAAGGAUCUUCCAGAGUCUUUUAAACCUUGUGAAAGAUUUUGAUCAUUAUCUCAAUGAGAGGUCAAUGAAGGACACUAAACCAGGAGUUUCCCUGCACAAGCUCUCUGCUCUUGUCUGCUGCCAUACAAGAUGUGCCUUUCACCUUCUGCCCUGAUUGUGAGGCCUCCCAAGCCAUGUGGAACUGAGUUUCCCUGCACAAGCUCUCUUCUCUUGUCUGCUACCAUAUGAAACAUGCCUUUCACCUUCCGCUACAAUUGUGAGGCCUCCCCAGCCAUGUGGAGCUACGUCUCUCUGUCACCCAGGCUGGAGUGCAGGGGCUGGAGUGCAGUUGCACAAUCUCGGCUCACUGCAACCUCCCCUUCCCGGGUUCAAGUGAAGGAAUGCUGAUUCUGUAUUCAUACUUCUGACUGCAAGGAGUUCCAACAAUAGGAGUGAUUGCUUACUUAUUGACUCUGGACCACAGGGUUAAUGAGAAGUACGGAGUUACUCUAAGGGAUCAACUGGUUCUGACUGGCAGCUUGCCAUUAGAAGGGGGUGAACUACCUAUUAUGAUCCUGUAUUAAAUUAAUUGGAAAGAGUUUAUGUUUUCAGUAUUCCAGCAUGCUCGAAGUUUAAGAUGCAGACAAGGAAAACAAGGCAGCCUAGAGAACAUUUACCUUUGCAUAUUCUCAUACAAUUUUUAUCCAUUUUGCUUCUCUUAAUAAACUUUACACAAUCACUGCCUGGAAAUGUA